UGCUAAUGAGGUGCAGGGCGACAGGUGGCCCGCUAGACAGCUCAAUUAAGCAGCUCGUUAAAGGCCAAGCUAACGAAGCGGCCUGCACUGCAAGCCUCAACAAACAAUGUGACUGUGCAGGCUACAAAUUGGUUUCCUGAACACUCUCCCUGUCUUCCAUUGUUUGGAAAACAUAUAGCCCUGACCAUGUGUUGCUGUAUUUGGCUCAUCAGGAUGCAGAACAAUGUUUUGAUAGCACCACAAGGCCAAGGUGGAUCAACCAUAUGCCCAUGGACAUGCACACUCAAUGACAAAGGCGGAUACCAACAGGCCCUCUCUGACACAAAGCGCCGAGGGGCUGAGGGAGGCGGGCAAGACGAGGGGUGCAUCUUAACCUGAGACAUCCCUCACACAAGAGGAGUGCAAUGGAGUUAACUACUGUAGCAGAGGGCAAAUGAAGUUCAGCUGAGGUGAAGGGGUGAGACAACGUCAAAGAAGGAACAACGGAGAGAGAUCGAGAGACGUUGUCUAAUGAAGGAAUGCACAGAGAGAUGGAAACUAAUGGAGACAAAGGAUGUACAGAGUGAGAAGGAGAGGGAGAGAGAUGGCGAUGGGGUGGCUGACUGCUGUUGAACUCAUCCUCAUCUUAAUUGAUGAGGUCAUCCUGGGGAUAUCCCAAAACUAGAGUGUCCCCGGGAGGUCAUCACCAGGUCAUCCAAAAGUCAAAGUGCAUCGGAGAGAGAUGACGUAGCAUAUAACUUUUCUUUGUGUUUCUGUUGUCGUUGUUGUUUUUGUUUGUUUAUGGGCUUUUUGCCUUUAAUUGUAAGGAUAGUGUAGACUAGGCAGAAAAGUGGAGAGAGACCACGAUUUUCUAGGCCGAUAUGGCUAGGAACUAUACUUCCAUUCCGGCAUAAUAAUCAAGGAACUUUGCUGCCGUACCAUGGCAGUGCCUGAAAAUAGGCUUAUUGGAAGUUACCUAGCUGGGGACUAUUUUCAGGCGCUGCGUAAUAUCAUUGCGCCUGCUGCACCCAUGGUACGGCAGCAAAGUUCCUUGAUUCCUUGAUUGGUGUCUUAGUACACAAUGUAACUACAGAAGAGCCAAGUUUUAAAUAGGAAAAAUAUAGAAACUCUUUGGUCAUUUUUGAGCGAGAUGCUAACGGUCUAAUAAGAUUCAAUGAUCUAUGCUAAGCUGCAGCUAAAAGUGCUACCGCCAGGCCCGGAG
rnacentral:lncRNA from 1 species